rnacentral:snoRNA from 1 species
UCACCUGGUAUGAUGAAACCAUUGACGGAUGUGAGCCUCGUGCUCGACUAACCGAGAGCGCAAAAUCGUGUGGAUAACCCGUUGCCUUCCUUCUGACCUCGUC